rnacentral:rRNA from 1 species
CUACCCGCUGAACUUAAGCAUAUCAUA